GUGGAUUAGAUACCCGAGUAGUCCGCACCGUAAACGAUGAUUACUCGUUGUUGGCGAUAUGACAGUCAGCGACCAAGCGAAAGCGAUAAGUAAUCCACCUGGGGAGUACGCCGGCAACGGUGAAACUCAAAGGAAUUGACGGGGGCCCGCACAAGCGGAGGAGCAUGUGGUUUAAUUCGAUGAUACGCGAGGAACCUUACCUGGGCUUGAAAGUUAGCGACCGGUUCUGAAAGGAAUCUUCCCGCAAGGGCGCGAAACUAGGUGCUGCACGGCUGUCGUCAACU
rnacentral:rRNA from 1 species